ensembl:lncRNA
GAGGAGGAGGAGGAGGAGGAGGAGGAGGAGGAGGACUGGGCUUGAUCAGGAUCCUCCUGGGAGCUGGAGCCCUUUACCUGGCCUUCAGGUGCUUCAGAUGGUGGAUGAGGAGUUGCUGGGAGUCGGACUGCUGGGAAGCCGUCCUCAGCAUGAAUCCAUGGAGGGUUGAGGGUCAUCAGCCGCCGCACGUCAUGCUGGAUUACGUCUUUUAGAUCAUCUUCUAGAUUACACUUCUGAUGUCUUCAAACAUUCAAGGAUGUCAGAAACUCUCCAUGAAUUUUCCACACUGGAAAAUAAUGAAGUUUUAAUGAUUUUUAUAAAGAUCUGACACUGAAGGCUCCACACCGUCUUCAGUCUGAAUGUUUUUAUUUAAAGUGAAUUAAACUUGGAAAAUCUGAGCUCAAAGAUCAAUAAGCCGAGAAAUGAAGCAGCUGGAGUCCUGGAACUUUAUCUUCUCAUUGAUCUGAACAUCUGGUCGAAUCAUACAAACCAGCUGGAGGACGAUGGAAAUAUCGUCCAGAAUCAGUUUAUCUGUCAUCUGGUUUAUCACUGGUUUAGGGCUGGUUUAGGACUUUUUUAACUGGCUUCAGGCUGGUAUUGGACUAGUUUAGGACUGGUUUUGGACUAGUUUUCCACUGGUUUAGGACUGGUUUUGGACUAGUUUCCCACUGGUUUAAGACUGGUUUUGGACUAGUUUUCCACUGGUUUAGGACUGGUUUUGGACUAGUUUUCCGCUAGUUUAUGACUGGUUUUGGACUAGUUUCCCACUGGUUUAGGACUGUUUUGGACUAGUUUUCCACUAGUUUAGGACUGCUUUUGGACUAAUUUUCUGCUAGUUUAUGACUGGUUUUGGACUAGUUUUCCACUGGUUUAGGACUGGUUUUGGACUAGUUUCCCACUGGUUUAUGACUGGUUUUGGACUAGUUUCCCACUGGUUUAAGACUGGUUUUGGACUAGUUUUCCACUAGUUUAGGACUGGUUUUGGACCAGUUUCUCACUAGUUUUGGACUAGUUUCCCACUGGUUUGGGACUGAUUUUGGACUGUUUCAGGACUGGUUUAUGACUGGUUUUAGACAAGGUUAGGACUAGUUUCUGAGUAUCGUACAGCCAUUUUUAUCUCAUACUUUAAAGUUUUUAAACUCCAGUGUUUCCUCAGAGGGGUCCUCCACACUGGGGGCAGUAUCCGGUCUGCUGCUGGGGUGCUGUCCACGGGUCCCUUCAGCUGGUUGGGGGGUCCCCACCUCGGUGUGGGGGUCCCCCUGUCUGUCAGGGUCCAGGGGGUCCGGGUGCCGGCGCCCCCGGCAGUCAUGGCUUGAGACUCCUCCUAGUGUGGACGACCCCAAUGGAGGCGUUUUCCAUGAUCCUCAGUGCCAUGCCAUGUCUCCCUACUGUCAGUGGUGGGAGUGUGUGUGUGUGUGUGUGUGUGUGUGUGUGUGUGUGUGUGUGUGUGUGUGUGUGUGUGUGUGUGUGUGUGUGUGUGUGUGUUUAUGCAUGUUUGUGUGCAGUUGCGUGUAUAUUUCCAGGGUGGGAGGGAAAGGUUUUCUUGUUUUUAAUUCAAUGUUUUUAAAGUUGUAAAGCACUUUGUGGUGCAAUUUUAUUGUAUGAAAAGUGCUAUACAAAUAAAGUUUGAUUGAUUGAUUGAUUGAUUGAUUGAUUCAAAGGUAGCAUUCGUUUUAGAAUUAAAUAUUCCUAAACAUGAGGAUUUUUGCAUUGUUUUCUUCACACCAAUCAGAUCAAUAACCUCAAAAUGAAGCAGCUGGAAUCCUGGAACUUUAUCUUCUCAUUGAUCUGAACAUCUGGUCUUCAGUAGAAUCAUACAAAUCAGCUGGAGGACGAUGGACAUAUGGUCCAAAGAUUGUUACUUUUCUGUCUGCCGUAAUAUUCCACCAACCAUAAAACGUUCAUUUUUCACCCUGAGAGGCCAAUUUUGUUCCCUGUGGUGUGUUGAGAAACAUGGAGGUAUGAGAUCCCAGAAUCAGCCACAAGGGUGAGACUCUGGCAGAAUAACAGCAAAAUAAAGGAACACAGUAUGAUAUUGUAACCUGUCAAUUAUAAUUAAUCCAUUUAAUCCAAUUGUUUCACUCAUGGUUCGAAGCUUCAUGGCGCUUCAUUUGCUCUACUGCG